CUCUCUCUAAAUUGGAGAACCUUCUCUCCAUCUGUAAGAACCUGACCCAAACCCCACAAAUAGUGGAUACUGUGGGGGUCCCACAAAAAGAACACGGGAUCCCCUCGUAUAUCCAAACUCAGCAUUCACCAACCCUCUCCCCCUCUCUCUCAGAGGCGAGAUUCCUUCUAUAAAUUCUGCCCUCUCCCCUUGCCAUGGAAGAAACUCACAAACCUCUCUCUCUCUCUCUCUCUAAAAAUCCAUAUUGAAGGCGCAAAAGAGCAUUAAGAAUUUCGAGGGUGAUUCAGCAAAAUCCUCAUUUUCAGAGUAGCGAAACAAAAUCAGAAUGAAGCCAUUUGUGACUCCUGGCCGAGGAGCCAUAAAGCGCCAAAUUUUCGCAUGGCUUUUGAAAAAACUAAAGCUUGCUUAGUUGCCUGUAAACUGUGUUUUGAACUUGGUGGAUUUCAUAAUAUCCCCAUGCUUUGUUGUGUUGUAUCCAUGUGUGUUUUCAAAUAAUUGUCAACAGACAGCUCAGCUGCAUAUUAUGCUCCCUCGUCCUGUUUUUACAGCUUAUUUGUAAUUUAGGAAGUUUACUUGCGAUUUUAAUCUGUUCUUGUUUGAAAAUAUUUUGUGGAUCUUAUUGUUUUUCAAUUCAAA
rnacentral:lncRNA from 1 species